AUUACCCAAUCCUGACACGGUGAGGUAGUGACAAGAAAUAACAAUACAGGGCAUAUGUCUUGUAAUUGGAAUGAUGCCGACUUAAACCCUGGGCAGAGUACCAAUUGGAGGGCAAGUCUGGUGCCAGCAGCCGCGGUAAUUCCAGCUCCAAUAGCGUAUAUUAAACUUGUUGCAGUUAAAAAGCUCGUAGUUGAAUUUGAGCUCGCGUGUGCGCCUUUUGGCGAAUCGCGUGCUUUUUGUUUUACUUUGAGAAAAUUAGAGUGUUUCAAGCAGACUUUUGUCUUGAAUACUUCAGCAUGGAAUAAUAGAGUAGGACCUUGGUUCUAUUUUGUUGGUUUUGAGCCUUGGUAAUGGUUAAUAGGAACGGUUGGGGGCAUUCGUAUUUAA
rnacentral:rRNA from 1 species